rnacentral:rRNA from 1 species
UAGGGAAUAUUGCAAAAUGGGCGCAAGCCCGAUGCAGCAACGCCGCGUGGGCGAUGAAGGCCUUCGGGUCGUAAAGCCCUUUUUGAGGGGAUGAGGAAGGACAGUACCCUCAGAAUAAGCCUCGGCUAACUACGUGCCAGCAGCCGCGGUAAAACGUAGGAGGCGAGCGUUAUCCGGAUUUUCUGGGCGUAAAGCGCGUCCAGGCCGAUUGGAAAGUUGGAUGUAAAAGCUCCCUGCUUAACUGGGAGAGGUCGUUCAAUACUUCCAGUCUUGAGUGCAGUAGAGGGAAGUGGAAUUCCGGGUGUAGUGGUGAAAUGCGUAGAUAUCCGGAGGAACACCAGUGGCGAAAGCGGCUUCCUGGACUGUAACUGACGCUCAGACGCGAAAGCUAGGGUAGCAAACGG